rnacentral:lncRNA from 1 species
ACAUAAUUAGCAGGGAAGAUGCCCAGGCGGCCGUGGUGCUCUCCCUCCAGCCAGUUCUUGUCCACCUCCUUGUGGAUGUAGACAAUGUCACCCUUCUGCAGAGUCAGCUCCCUGCAGGCGGGGACGAGGACCGCAGGGGAAGGGGCUUCCUCCAUCAGCCAUUCUGUGGGGGCUCAGGGACCGGGCGGAACCCAGGUAAGAUGCAUGUGGGGAGCUGGAGCUCCAGGCUGAGGCCGGGCUGCACGGGGCACAGAGACUGAGCCUCCAGCCUGGGGCUCCCCAGCGGGAGUGCCUGGGCCGUGGUGGGGCCGCCCUAACCGCGCUGCGCCCCCGGCGGCCGCGACCCCCGUCCUCUGCUCGGAGUUAGCUGCCCUCGGUGGCGCGGGAACGGCGCCCCGCAGAGAGUGGCGCUGCGGUCCCUCCGGGACACGGC